CAAUAGCGUAUGUUAAAGUUGUUGCGGUAAAAAGCUCGUAGUUGGAUUUCUGUCGAGGACGGCCGGUCCAUACAAUGUAUGUGCAUCUGGUUCGGCUUCGGCAUCCUCUCGAAAGACGUUUCUGUGCUUGAUUGCAUGGAGCGGAUCUCGGGACUUUUACUUUGAGGAAAUUAGAGUGUUCACGGCAGGCUCGCGCCAGAAUACAUUAGCAUGGAAUAAUACUAUAGGAUUUCGGUUCUAUUUUGUUGGUUUCUAGAAUUGAAAUAAUGAUUAAUAGGGACAAUUGGGGGCAUUCGUAUCAAGGCGUCAGAGGUGGAAUUCUUGGAUUGCCUUGCGACGAACUACUGCGAAAGCAUUUGCCAAGGAUGUUUUCAUUGAUCAAGAACGAAAGUAAGGGGAUCGAAGACGAUUAGAUACCAU
rnacentral:rRNA from 1 species